rnacentral:rRNA from 1 species
GUGGGGAAUAUUGGACAAUGGGCGAAAGCCUGAUCCAGCCAUGCCGCGUGUGUGAAGAAGGUCUUCGGAUUGUAAAGCACUUUAAGUUGGGAGGAAGGGCAUUAACCUAAUACGUUAGUGUUUUGACGUUACCGACAGAAUAAGCACCGGCUAACUUCGUGCCAGCAGCCGCGGUAAUACGAAGGGUGCAAGCGUUAAUCGGAAUAACUGGGCGUAAAGCGCGCGUAGGUGGUUCGUUAAGUUGGAUGUGAAAGCCCCGGGCUCAACCUGGGAACUGCAUCCAAAACUGGCGAGCUAGAGUACGGUAGAGGGUGGUGGAAUUUCCUGUGUAGCGGUGAAAUGCGUAGAUAUAGGAAGGAACACCAGUGGCGAAGGCGACCACCUGGACUGAUACUGACACUGAGGUGCGAAAGCGUGGGGAGCAAACAGGAUUAGAAACCCUAGUAGUCC